rnacentral:snoRNA from 1 species
AAGCCGUGGUGUGGGCAUUGGUUAGUAUAGCUUCUAAACCGUUCCCAAGCUUCACUAAAGCUCUUGUUAUUGUGCUGCGUGAAACUUGAGAUCUGAUUCCUGAGCUU